rnacentral:rRNA from 1 species
UAGUCAUAUGCUCGUCUCAAAGAUUAAGCCAUGCAUGUCUAAGUAUAAAUAACUACACAGUAAAACUGCGAAUGGCUCAUUAGAACAGUUAUAGUUUAUUUGAUAAAUUAAAUGGAUAACUGUAGGAAACUAGAGCUAAUACAUGCCAAGGCCGACAGGCUGCAUUUAUUAGAUAUACCAAGAAGGUGAAUCAUAAUAACUUUGCAAAUCGAAACUAAGUUUCGAUACAUCAUUCAAGUUUCUGACCUAUCAUGCUCUCGAUGGUAGUGUAUUGGACUACCAUGGCAGUCACGGGUAACGGAGAAUUAGGGUUCGAUUCCGGAGAAGGAGCCUGAGAAACGGCUACUACAUCUAAGGAAGGCAGCAGGCGCGUAAAUUACCCAAUCCUAAAUCAGGGAGGUAGUGGCAAUAAAUAACAAUGCAGGGCCCAACGGGUUUUGCAAUUGGAAUGAGUACAAUUUAAAUCUCUUAACGAGUAACAAUU